rnacentral:rRNA from 1 species
CCUACGGGAGGCAGCAGUGAGGAAUAUUGGUCAAUGGGCGCUAGCCUGAACCAGCCAAGUAGCGUGAAGGAUGAAGGCUCUAUGGGUCGUAAACUUCUUUUAUAUAAGAAUAAAGUGCAGUAUGUAUACUGUUUUGUAUGUAUUAUAUGAAUAAGGAUCGGCUAACUCCGUGCCAGCAGCCGCGGUAAUACGGAGGAUCCGAGCGUUAUCCGGAUUUAUUGGGUUUAAAGGGAGCGUAGGUGGACUGGUAAGUCAGUUGUGAAAGUUUGCGGCUCAACCGUAAAAUUGCAGUUGAUACUGUCAGUCUUGAGUACAGUAGAGGUGGGCGGAAUUCGUGGUGUAGCGGUGAAAUGCUUAGAUAUCACGAAGAACUCCGAUUGCGAAGGCAGCUCACUGGACUGC